rnacentral:misc_RNA from 1 species
GAUGAAGAACGUAGCGAAAUGCGAUAAGUAAUGUGAAUUGCAGAAUUCAGUGAAUCAUCGAAUCUUUGAACGCACAUUGCGCCCGCUAGUAUUCUGGCGGGCAUGCCUGUCCGAGCGUCAUUUCAACCCUCAAGCCCCCGGGCUUGGUGUUGGGGAUCGGCGAGCCUCCGCGCCCGCCGUCCCCUAAAUCUAGUGGCGGUCUCGCUGUAGCUUCCUCUUCGUAGUAGCACACCUCGCACUGGGAAACAGCGCGGCCACGCCGUUAAACCCCCAACUUCUGAACGUUUGACCUCGGAUCAGGUAGGAAUACCCGCUGAACUUAAGCAUAUCAAUAAGCGGAGGA